CCCACUCUGCUGCCCUGCCUCGCUUUCCUCCUCGGCCUUCCCGGAUGGAUGACCGAUGUCAUUCCCAGGUUCCCUAACACUCAAGCCUAGCCCCUCAGUUUCUAGCAAGCAUCAAGCUUCACUGUGUGUCUAGCCUCUCAGGAGUCAGACCUGAGAAGUAUAGCUUGGUGGAAAUUCAGUGGCAGGGAAGAAAGAAGGAAGGAAAGAAGACUCUGAGCUGGAUUCAUACACAUCAUCGCAAUUCAUCCACACCACAGUCCUGUAAGAAGGCUGCAAAACAUACAGCAGAAAGGAUGGCUUGAAGGCAAUUGAUGUUUGUAAAAAAAUCCACAACAGGAUCCAAGCUGAAGAGGUGAACACGUCAGCCUGGUGGGACAAUUCUCAGCAUGUGCAAACAUAGGUAAAUUCUAGCCUAUGUUACAUUAAAAACAAUGUCAGUGCAUUUUUUCAUGUUAAAGUUUUUUUCAAAGCUAAA
rnacentral:lncRNA from 1 species